GGUGGGAGUUGAAGUCCAAAUCCCCUGGAGGAAAGGCCUAAGCUUGCCCAGGCCAGUUAUAUCCUGCUGGGGAGAAAGAGGCGGGAAAUCCCUCCUUCCCCAGUUUCUGCCCUCAGGAGCGGCGGGCCCAAAGUGCGCCUUUGCGUCGCCAUGGCAACCCCUGAGGCGACGAGGGCAUGGCGGCCGAGGAGAAAGAAGCCACCGCCGCGGAAUCUGCAAUAGCAGAAAUUCAAAAGAAAAUCACAGAUGCUUUUGAAGUUUUUGACCAUGAGUGCAACAAAACUGUGGAUGUCAGGGAAAUUGGCACAAUCAUUAGAUCAUUAGGCUGUUGCCCAAGUGAGGGGGAUCUACAUGAUAUGCUUGCAGAGGUAGAAGAAGAAGAACCAACCGGAUUCAUUCGUUUGGAAAAAUUUCUUCCUAUGAUGACCAGAAUAUUAAUGGAAAGAAGGUAAUAGGGAAAAGGAGGUUUCAAUUUAUAUAAUUCAGUCAUAUAUUUAUUACUGAUAUUAAUAAUGAUUCUUUUAUAGCUACAAAGAUAAAACCA
rnacentral:lncRNA from 11 species